AAGCAAUUCCUUGACACAGUAAAUAAACGAACCCCCAGCAAAUAGACCACGAACACUCAGUGUUAAUAAUAAUGCUAAAACAAUCCUCCUAUUUUGUUGCUCUCUAUAUCAUGCAUUUUCUAUUUAUUUUUUAGGAUAUCCUUGAAGAUUAGUCAGAGAACCUCUUAUGUGCCUCUAAAGGCAUUUGAACUGGGCAAACAGGAC
rnacentral:lncRNA from 1 species